rnacentral:rRNA from 1 species
UAGCGGCGGACGGGUGAGUAACACGUAGGCAACCUGCCCCUUGGACUGGGAUAACUACCGGAAACGGUAGCUAAUACCGGAUAAUUCCUCUUAGCUCCUGCUAGGAGGCUGAAAGGCGGAGCAAUCUGUCACCAAGGGAUGGGCCUGCGGCGCAUUAGCUAGUUGGUGGGGUAACGGCUCACCAAGGCGACGAUGCGUAGCCGACCUGAGAGGGUGAACGGCCACACUGGGACUGAGACACGGCCCAGACUCCUACGGGAGGCAGCAGUAGGGAAUCUUCCGCAAUGGGCGAAAGCCUGACGGAGCAACGCCGCGUGAGUGAUGAAGGUUUUCGGAUCGUAAAGCUCUGUUGCCAGGGAAGAACGUCCUCUAGAGUAACUGCUAAAAGAGUGACGGUACCUGAGAAGAAAGCCCCGGCUAACUACGUGCCAGCAGCCGCGGUAAUACGUAGGGGGCAAGCGUUGUCCGGAAUUAUUGGGCGUAAAGCGCGCGCAGGCGGCUGUUUAAGUCUGGUGUUUAAACCAUGGGCUCAACCUGUGGUCGCACUGGAAACUGGGCAGCUUGAGUGCAGAAGAGGAAAGUGGAAUUCCACGUGUAGCGGUGAAUGCGUAGAGAUGUGGAGGAACACCAGUGGCGAAAGGCGACUUUCUGGGCUGUAACUGACGCUGAGCGCGAAAGCGUGGGGGAGCAAACAGGAGUAGAUACCCUGG